GGUAAGGUCUGCGUACAUACUACCCUCCCCAGACCCCACUAAGUGGGAUUAUACUGGGUUGUACUUUUUUUUUUAAUAUAGCUCAGCAUAAGGAAUGCGCCAUAUGGCAUAAGUUCCACGAGGGUAACGGUAAUACUACAAAGUGUUCAGUAGUUAAGUGUUAACAGAGCAUAUUGAUUCUUAGACCUUGAAUUAUCAACCCAGCUUUCUUCAAACAGAUAGUAAACAUAUAUCCACAGCACUCACCAUUAUUACCAGACUAUCGAAAAGCCUCUCUAAUAUCAGGUACCAAUUACCAGACUAUGUUGCUAGAACUCUGAAAAUGUUGCAGGGUGCGUGUCGGAUAUUUUUGGAGGAUCCCACACGGGUACGGCAUCAUCUUGGAAAGUCCGCUCAACAUAGUUAUCAGAAGAGAAUCUGUUAUUUAAACAUUGACUCAUCAAUUAGUUAAGAGGAGCAUAAAUUAGCAAUGCAUCUGGGAGCACAAUUACCAUUUUAUUUUAUUGAUAGGUUUAAGUAUACCAAAAGUAGUAGAAAGCAAUUCAGAUUUGAACUCGUGAAACAAUAAUUUGAACUGUAACUUCUAAGAACUAUACCCUCCGCUUAGAGAUGAUUAGCCGAAAAUUUACCUUAGAAAAACUUCAAGUAACUAUUGUGAGGGAAAGACUUAAUCCGCCAGCUUAAGUUCAACAAUAUUGGUCUUGUUUUACACGAUCGCAGUUCUGAUGAAAGACAUAUCUAUAUUUUAAUCUACGACUGACACAAGUUCAUUGAGUUUAACAGUUCAAAAUCCGAAAAAGAACAUGUAUAAAUGCAAGUGAAAUUGAACUGACUUUGAUAAGAAAGUGAUGGACCUUGUUCAUAUUCCAAUCGUUGGAUUUGGCGAUUGACCAAAACAAACAGAUAUUCGAUGCCGACGGCCGGUUUGGCCAAUGAGUUCUCCGCCCUCCGGCUUCUAUUUGUGUUUCUGAUUCAUUGUCUACCUAUUCGAUUUUCCUUUAUUCUCUUCCGUUUCCUAUUGUUGUUUCCAAAAUCCAAACCGAGAGAUUUAGGGGCCAUUUGGCC
rnacentral:lncRNA from 1 species